rnacentral:rRNA from 1 species
UGGGGCGGGCUUGCCUAUUACAUUGCAAGUCGAACGAACUCUGGUAUUGAUUGGUGCUUGCAUCAUGAUUUACAUUUGAGUGAGUGGCGAACUGGUGAGUAACACGUGGGAAACCUGCCCAGAAGCGGGGGAUAACACCUGGAAACAGAUGCUAAUACCGCAUAACAACUUGGACCGCAUGGUCCGAGUUUGAAAGAUGGCUUCGGCUAUCACUUUUGGAUGGUCCCGCGGCGUAUUAGCUAGAUGGUGAGGUAACGGCUCACCAUGGCAAUGAUACGUAGCCGACCUGAGAGGGUAAUCGGCCACAUUGGGACUGAGACACGGCCCAAACUCCUACGGGAGGCAGCAGUAGGGAAUCUUCCACAAUGGACGAAAGUCUGAUGGAGCAACGCCGCGUGAGUGAAGAAGGGUUUCGGCUCGUAAAACUCUGUUGUUAAAGAAGAACAUAUCUGAGAGUAACUGUUCAGGUAUUGACGGUAUUUAACCAGAAAGCCACGGCUAACUACGUGCCAGCAGCCGCGGUAAUACGUAGGUGGCAAGCGUUGUCCGGAUUUAUUGGGCGUAAAGCGAGCGCAGGCGGUUUUUUAAGUCUGAUGUGAAAGCCUUCGGCUCAACCGAAGAAGUGCAUCGGAAACUGGGGAAACUUGAGUGCAGAAGAGGACAGUGGAACUCCAUGUGUAGCGGUGAAAUGCGUAGAUAUAUGGAAGAACACCAGUGGCGAAAGGCGGCUGUCUGGUCUGUAACUGACGCUGAGGCUCGAAAGUAUGGGUAGCAAACAGGAUUAGAUACCCUGGUAGUCCAUACCGUAAACGAUGAAUGCUAAGUGUUGGAGGGUUUCCGCCCUUCAGUGCUGCAGCUAACGCAUUAAGCAUUCCGCCUGGGGAGUACGGCCGCAAGGCUGAAACUCAAAGGAAUUGACGGGGGCCCGCACAAGCGGUGGAGCAUGUGGUUUAAUUCGAAGCUACGCGAAGAACCUUACCAGGUCUUGACAUACUAUGCAAAUCUAAGAGAUUAGACGUUCCCUUCGGGGACAUGGAUACAGGUGGUGCAUGGUUGUCGUCAGCUCGUGUCGUGAGAUGUUGGGUUAAGUCCCGCAACGAGCGCAACCCUUAUUAUCAGUUGCCAGCAUUAAGUUGGGCACUCUGGUGAGACUGCCGGUGACAAACCGGAGGAAGGUGGGGAUGACGUCAAAUCAUCAUGCCCCUUAUGACCUGGGCUACACACGUGCUACAAUGGAUGGUACAACGAGUUGCGAACUCGCGAGAGUAAGCUAAUCUCUUAAAGCCAUUCUCAGUUCGGAUUGUAGGCUGCAACUCGCCUACAUGAAGUCGGAAUCGCUAGUAAUCGCGGAUCAGCAUGCCGCGGUGAAUACGUUCCCGGGCCUUGUACACACCGCCCGUCACACCAUGAGAGUUUGUAACACCCAAAGUCGGUGGGGUAACCUUUUAGGAACCAGCCGCCUUAAAGGGGACCAGAU